rnacentral:rRNA from 1 species
CACGUAGGGUGCGAGCGUUGUCCGGAAUUAUUGGGCGUAAAGAGCUCGUAGGCGGUGUGUCGCGUCGGCCGUGAAAACCUGCAGCUUAACUGUGGGCUUGCGGUCGGUACGGGCAUCACUGGAGUUCGGCAGGGGAGACUGGAAUUCCUGGUGUAGCGGUGAAAUGCGCAGAUAUCAGGAGGAACACCGGUGGCGAAGGCGGGUCUCUGGGCCGAUACUGACGCUGAGACGCGAAAGCAUGGGGAGCAAACAGG